GGGUUGUGAGGUUAAGCGAAUAAGCGUACACGGUGGAUGCCUAGGCAAUCAGAGGCGAUGAAGGACGUGCUAAUCUGCGAAAAGCGUCGGUAAGGUGAUAUGAACCGCUAUACCCGACGAUAUCCGAAUGGGGAAACCCAGUAUCCAAUGGAUACUAUCAUUAACUGAAUCCAUAGGUUAAUGAGGCGAACCGGGAGAACUGAAACAUCUCAGUACCCCGAGGAAAAGAAAUCAACCGAGAUUCCCCUAGUAGCGGCGAGCGAACGGGGAGCAGCCCAGAGUCUUAAUCAAUAGCAGUGUCAGGAGAACGGUCUGGAAAGUCCGGCAGUAAAGGGUGAUAGCCCCGUAUCUGAAGAUGCUGUUAUUGUGAACUCGACGAGUAGGGCGGGACACGUGUUAUCCUGUCUGAAUAUGGGGGGACCAUCCUCCAAGGCUAAAUACUCCUGAUUGACCGAUAGUGAACCAGUACCGUGAGGGAAAGGCGAAAAGAACCCCGGCGAGGGGAGUGAAAAAGAACCUGAAACCGUGUACGUACAAGCAGUAGGAGCCUCUUUAUGGGGUGACUGCGUACCUUUUGUAUAAUGGGUCAGCGACUUAUAUUCUGUAGCAAGGUUAACCGUAUAGGGGAGCCGUAGGGAAACCGAGUCUUAACUGGGCGAAUGAGUUGCAGGGUAUAGACCCGAAACCCGGUGAUCUAUCCAUGGGCAGGUUGAAGGUUGGGUAACACUAACUGGAGGACCGAACCGACUAAUGUUGAAAAAUUAGCGGAUGACUUGUGGAUGGGGGUGAAAGGCCAAUCAAACCGGGAGAUAGCUGGUUCUCCCCGAAAGCUAUUUAGGUAGCGCCUCGUGAACUCAUCUUCGGGGGUAGAGCACUGUUUCGACUAGGGGGUCAUCCCGACUUACCAACUCGAUGCAAACUGCGAAUACCGAAGAAUGUUAUCACGGGAGACACACGGCGGGUGCUAACGUCCGUCGUGAAGAGGGAAACAACCCAGACCGCCAGCUAAGGUCCCAAAGUCAUGGUUAAGUGGGAAACGAAGUGGGAAGGCUCAGACAGCCAGGAUGUUGGCUUAGAAGCAGCCAUCAUUUAAAGAAAGCGUAAUAGCUCACUGGUCGAGUCGGCCCGCGCGGAAGAUGUAACGGGGCUAAACCAUGCACCGAAGCUGCGGCAGCGACACAAAGUGUUGUUGGGUAGGGGAGCGUUCUGUAAGCCUGCGAAGGUGUACUGUGAGGUAUGCUGGAGGUAUCAGAAGUGCGAAUGCUGACAUAAGUAACGAUAAUGCGGGUGAAAAACCCGCACGCCGGAAGACCAAGGGUUCCUGUCCAACGUUAAUCGGGGCAGGGUGAGUCGACCCCUAAGGCGAGGCUGAAAAGCGUAGUCGAUGGGAAACGGGUUAAUAUUCCCGUACUGGUGGUAACUGCGAUGGGGGAACGGAGAAGGCUAGGUUGUCCGGGCGACGGUCGUCCCGGUUCAAGCAGGUAGGCAGAGUGAUUAGGCAAAUCCGGUCACUUAAUGCUGAGAUGUGAUGACGAACCACCAAGGUGGUGAAGCAAUUGAUGCCCCGCUUCCAGGAAAAGCCUCUAAGCUUCAGGUUACCAACAAUCGUACCCCAAACCGACACAGGUGGUCAGGUAGAGAAUACUCAGGCGCUUGAGAGAACUCGGGUGAAGGAACUAGGCAAAAUGGUGCCGUAACUUCGGGAGAAGGCACGCUGGCGGUAGGUAAAGUCCCUUGCGGACGGCGCUGAAGCCAGUCGAAGAUACCAGCUGGCUGCAACUGUUUAUUAAAAACACAGCACUGUGCAAACACGAAAGUGGACGUAUACGGUGUGACGCCUGCCCGGUGCUGGAAGGUUAAUUGAUGGGGUUAGCGUAAGCGAAGCUCCUGAUCGAAGCCCCAGUAAACGGCGGCCGUAACUAUAACGGUCCUAAGGUAGCGAAAUUCCUUGUCGGGUAAGUUCCGACCUGCACGAAUGGCGUAAUGAUGGCCAGGCUGUCUCCACCCGAGACUCAGUGAAAUUGAACUCGCUGUGAAGAUGCAGUGUACCCGCGGCAAGACGGAAAGACCCCGUGAACCUUUACUAUAGCUUGACACUGAACAUUGAGCCUUGAUGUGUAGGAUAGGUGGGAGGCUUUGAAGUGUGGACGCCAGUCUGCAUGGAGCCAACCUUGAAAUACCACCCUUUAACGUUUGAUGUUCUAACCUAGGCCCAUAAACUGGGUCGGGGACCGUGUCUGGUGGGUAGUUUGACUGGGGCGGUCUCCUCCUAAAGAGUAACGGAGGAGCACGAAGGUUGGCUAAGCAUGGUCGGACAUCAUGCGGUUAGUGCAAAGGCAUAAGCCAGCUUGACUGCGAGAGUGACGGCUCGAGCAGGUACGAAAGUAGGUCUUAGUGAUCCGGUGGUUCUGAAUGGAAGGGCCAUCGCUCAACGGAUAAAAGGUACUCCGGGGAUAACAGGCUGAUACCGCCCAAGAGUUCAUAUCGACGGCGGUGUUUGGCACCUCGAUGUCGGCUCAUCACAUCCUGGGGCUGAAGUAGGUCCCAAGGGUAUGGCUGUUCGCCAUUUAAAGUGGUACGCGAGCUGGGUUUAGAACGUCGUGAGACAGUUCGGUCCCUAUCUGCCGUGGGCGUUGGAAGAUUGAGAGGGGUUGCUCCUAGUACGAGAGGACCGGAGUGAACGCACCACUGGUGUUCGGGUUGUCAUGCCAAUGGCAUUGCCCGGUAGCUAAGUGCGGAAGAGAUAACCGCUGAAAGCAUCUAAGCGGGAAACUUGCCUCGAGAUGAGUCUUCCCUGUCGCUUUAAGCGACCUAAAGGAACGUUUAAGACUAAGACGUUGAUAGGCUGGGUGUGUAAGCGUAGCGAUACGUUGAGCUAACCAGUACUAAUGAACCGUGAGGCUUAACCUGACAACACCGAAAGUGUUUUG
rnacentral:rRNA from 1 species